AACAGGGAAAAGCUCACAGUUGGAACCUAGCUGCCUUAGGUAGUUYGGAUUGUAAACUGAAAAAGUGUUAUCCAGGCUAGCCGAGUAAAAAAGUUUCUUGGAAUAGAACAUCAUGGAGGGUGAGAAUCCCGUCUUUGGCUUGAGCAUAGUCUUUUGUGUUACACUUUAACGAGUCAGGUUGUUUGGGAAUGCAGCCUAAAGUGGGAGGUAAAUCCCUCCUAAAGCUAAAUAUUGGCGAGAGACCGAUAGCAAACAAGUACCGUGAGGGAAAGAUGAAAAGAACUUUGAAAAGAGAGUUAAACAGUAUGUGAAAUUGCUAAAAGGGAAGCGUUUGAAGACAGACUAGCUUGGUUAUAAUCAGCCUGGAUUUUUCUUGGUGUACUUGUAGCCUAUGCUUGCCAACAGCAGUUUGGUUUGGCUGAAAAAACUAGUAGUAAGGUGGCUCUCUUCGGGGAGUGUUAUAGACUAUUAGAAAAUCAGUUGGACUGGACUGAGGAAUGCAAUGCAGCUUGCCUUGGGGUGAACCAGAUUGGAUAGGAACCAUUGUUCCUUGAAGGUUUGGGUAGCUCCUCGAACUGUAUUUAGGUUGUUGGCUUAAUGUCUUUAAACGGCCCGUCUUGAAACCACG
rnacentral:rRNA from 1 species